rnacentral:rRNA from 1 species
GAGGUCCCAAGCGUUGUUCGGAUUCACUGGGCGUAAAGGGUGCGUAGGUGGUGAGGUAAGUCGGAUGUGAAAGCUCCGAGCUCAACUCGGAAAUGGCAUUGGAAACUACCUUGCUCGAGGGUUUGAGGGGGGACUGGAAUACUUGGUGUAGCAGUGAAAUGCGUAGAUAUCAAGUAGAACACCAGUGGCGAAGGCGAGUCCCUGGAAAACUCCUGACACUGAGGCACGAAAGCUAGGGGAGCAAACAGGAUUAGAUACCCUGGUAGUCCUAGCCGUAAACGGUGCGUAUUUGCUGUAAAAGGAAUCGACCCCUUUUGUGGCGUAGCCAACGCGUUAAAUACGCCGCCUGGGAAGUACGGUCGCAAGAUUA